rnacentral:rRNA from 1 species
AUUGAACGCUGGCGGCAGGCUUAACACAUGCAAGUCGAACGGUAACAGGAAGAAAGCUUGCUUUCUUUGCUGACGAGUGGCGGACGGGUGAGUAAUGCUUGGGAAUCUGCCUUAUGGAGGGGGAUAACUACGGGAAACUGUAGCUAAUACCGCGUAAUAUCUUCGGAUUAAAGUGUGGGACCUUCGGGCCACAUGCCAUAAGAUGAGCCCAAGUGAGAUUAGGUAGUUGGUGAGGUAAAGGCUCACCAAGCUGACGAUCUCUAGCUGGUUUGAGAGGAUGACCAGCCACACUGGAACUGAGACACGGUCCAGACUCCUACGGGAGGCAGCAGUGGGGAAUAUUGCACAAUGGGCGCAAGCCUGAUGCAGCCAUGCCGCGUGAAUGAAGAAGGCUUUCGGGUUGUAAAGUUCUUUCAGUGGUGAGGAAGGGUUAAUAUCUAAUAGGUAUUAACAUUGACGUUAGCCACAGAAGAAGCACCGGCUAACUCCGUGCCAGCAGCCGCGGUAAUACGGAGGGUGCGAGCGUUAAUCGGAAUAACUGGGCGUAAAGGGCACGCAGGCGGUUGUCUAAGUCAGAUGUGAAAGCCCCGAGCUUAACUUGGGAAUUGCAUUUGAUACUGGGCGACUAGAGUCCUCUAGGGAGGGGUAGAAUUCCACGUGUAGCGGUGAAAUGCGUAGAGAUGUGGAGGAAUACCGAAGGCGAAGGCAGCCCCUUGGAGAGAGACUGACGCUGAGGUGCGAAAGCGUGGGUAGCAAACAGG